CUUUAACAAUCUGGAACAAGCUGAAAAUUUGAAAC
rnacentral:sRNA from 1 species